rnacentral:rRNA from 1 species
GAGGGGGUCGCGGCUGAUUAGCUAGUUGGUGAGGUAAUGGCUCACCAAGGCGAAGAUCGGUAGCCGGCCUGAGAGGGCGCACGGCCACACUGGAACUGAAACACGGUCCAGACUCCUACGGGAGGCAGCAGUGGGGAAUCUUGCGCAAUGGGCGAAAGCCUGACGCAGCAACGCCGCGUGGAGGAUGAAGGCCCUUGGGUUGUAAACUCCUGUCGGCUGGGAAGAAAUCGUUCGCGGUUAAUACCCGCGGGCGUUGACUGUACCAGCAAAGGAAGCCCCGGCUAACUCUGUGCCAGCAGCCGCGGUAAUACAGAGGGGGCCAGCGUUAUUCGGAAUUAUUGGGCGUAAAGGGCGCGUAGGCGGCCCUGCGUGUCUUCCGUGAAAUCCCUCGGCUUAACUGAGGACGUGCGGAAGAAACUGCGGGGCUCGAGUCCGGGAGAGGGGGGGUGGAAUUCCCAGUGUAGCGGUGAAAUGCGUAGAUAUUGGGAGGAACACCGGUGGCGAAGGCGGCCCCCUGGACCGGUACUGACGCUGAGGCGCGAAAGCGUGGGGAGCAAACGGGAUUAGAUACCCCGGUAG